rnacentral:miRNA from 12 species
ACAUACUUCUUUAUAUGCCCAUA